rnacentral:rRNA from 1 species
UACGUAGGGGGCGAGCGUUGUCCGGAUUAUUGGCGUAAAGAGCGUGUAGGCGGCCAGGUAGGUCUGCUGGUGAAAACUCGAGGCUCAACCUCGAGACGUCGGCGGAAACCAUCUGGCUAGAGUCCGGAAGAGGAGAGUGGAAUUCCUGGUGUAGCGGUGAAAUGACGCAGAUAUCAGGAGGAACACCGGUGGCGAAGGCGGCAUCCUGGACCGGUAUUGACGCUGAGGC